AUCAGAAGCGUCACGGUGGAUCUAGCAGAUUGACCUGCUUUAAUGAGUUACAGGAUCCACUUUGUUCCAGCACUGAGCCGCUUCCCUCCUCCCGUCCCUGCAGAGGCCUCUCUUUUACAACCUCAGGUGCUUCUGGAUGCACUUAGUGCUCACUGUACGUCACCUGGGAAAGCAUGGGGUCAAACCUCGCCUGACCUCUCACUGGUCUCUGUGCUCACACAGCCAAAAAAAGAAAGAACAAGGUCCAUUUUCCACACAUUUUACUCGUUUUCAAGUGUUUCAAGACGCACUCGUGAUGUUGACACUCCAGAGCGUCUUUAACUUUAAUCGAAAUGCCACGAGCGUGAAAGUCAUCAGGCUGUCAUCUGCGCGUGGCCAUGACCGGCAUGAUAAAGAACCGGACGGUUUUUCGGCGAGGAAAACGGCUAAUGGGCGAAGGAUGAGGAGAAAAACAAUAGCAAAGCGCAUCCUGUACAGUGGAUACGAGGCAUACGAAGAGACACCCGAAGAAACCGGCGCGAGGGCGAAGCACGUCUUCAGUCAAGAGCCGGCGAAGAGGAGAAAAUGGAGAGAACUAAAUGGAGAGGACAUCUCAUCUUGCAAUGCUGACUAUGUUAAGUUCAAAACAAAGGCUUUUGAGGUUGACAAGCCCCUUGGAGAUGCAACAAGGGAUGCAGAUUUUACUAUGGAGGUGCUCGGAAGCCUCCAAUCACGUUCAAGGGCGGAGCUUAUCGCCAUGGUGUUGAGUAUGCAGAGGGAGAUGGACAGCCUCCGAGAACAAAUCAGAAGCUUUACAGCAUGUGGGAAGUUGGCUCAGACACUUGAAGAGCUGAUCGAGAAGAGUGAUAAAUGGCUGUGUGGCAGCCAUGAAGCUGCAACUCACAGCAUUCCAGAGGAGCUCGAGAGAAGCAAGCCACCCAGUCACAUUUCUCCUCCAAGGGUGCUUAGUGGAAGAACAGCUGUAUGUGCAAGUUCAGAGCAGCAGGGGUGUGGUCAGUAUGAGGUCACACAAACAAUGCCUCAAAGGAAUGGAACGCUUCCCGAACAAAUAGUUAUCACUGCUGAUCUCCUGGAGCACUGCAACACAGGGACCACGGCUCAGAAGCUCACAAAUGACCUGCUGCGCAGCCUCUAUGACAGAGACUGUCUGGCCUCUCACUCAAUCUCAGGCAUCGUCAACAGCAAGCGAGGGAUGCCUAAGCCAGCUCUUCCAGCACUUGAGAUCCAGGCCAUUCUGAGGACAGUGCAGCGGUUCUUCCCUGGAAAGACUGAUUCAGAAAUAAAGGGCUACAUACGACAGAAGCUUCAGAAUGAGGCCAAGAGACUCCGGAAAAGGCCACACCCAGUUGAUGAUCCAUUGGUGGGCUCGUUUGACAAGUAGAGAGCGAUGUUUGAGCAUUGAGUGUUGACUUCCAUUGGACAACCCCAACGUAGUUAAUUGAAGAAUUUAAAAUCAAAUUUAACGGAACAAAAUUCUGUUAUUAACCUUAAAGGGAUAGUUCAGAAAAAGUUCUGUCAUCAUUUACUUAAUUUUCAUUUAUUGCGGUUCCAAACCAAUAGGCAUACAGGUUUGAAACCACAUGAGAGUGAGUAAAUUAUGACAGAAUUUUCAUUUUUGAGUAAGGCGGCACGAUUAAUCAAAAUAAAACCAAAAAGACUGCAAUUUAAUCUAAUAAA
ensembl:lncRNA